rnacentral:rRNA from 1 species
ACGCUCGACACCUACGGGGGCAGCAGUCGGGAAUAUUGCGCAAUGGAGGAAACUCUGACGCAGUGACGCCGCGUAUGGGAAGAAGGUUUUCGGAUUGUAAACCAUUUUAGACAAGGAAGAAACAAGACAGUACUUGUAGAAUAAGCUCCGGCUAACUACGUGCCAGCAGCCGCGGUAAUCUGAGCGGGCUGGCAAGGC